UUUAAAGCAGGCAUUGAGCAAGUACAAGUAUGCAGACAUAGUAAAUAGAGAUGUAACAUAUGUCAUGAAUUGGUUUAAAGAUCUCCAACCAUCACAAGAGUGUUUUAUUUUCCAUGAUGGCACAAGAAAAAAGCUGCUUAAUUUGAAUGGAACGAUUCCUGUCCAACACAAAG